rnacentral:rRNA from 1 species
AUUGAACGCUGGCGGCAUGCCUUACACAUGCAAGUCGAACGGUAACGCGGGGCAACCUGGCGACGAGUGGCGAACGGGUGAGUAAUGUAUCGGAACGUGCCCAGUUGUGGGGGAUAACUGCUCGAAAGAGCAGCUAAUACCGCAUACGACCUGAGGGUGAAAGCGGGGGAUCGCAAGACCUCGCGCUAUUGGAGCGGCCGAUAUCAGAUUAGCUAGUUGGUGGGGUAAAAGCUCACCAAGGCGACGAUCUGUAGCUGGUCUGAGAGGACGACCAGCCACACUGGGACUGAGACACGGCCCAGACUCCUACGGGAGGCAGCAGUGGGGAAUUUUGGACAAUGGGCGCAAGCCUGAUCCAGCCAUGCCGCGUGCGGGAAGAAGGCCUUCGGGUUGUAAACCGCUUUUGUCAGGGAAGAAACGGCUCCUACUAAUACUGGGGGCUAAUGACGGUACCUGAAGAAUAAGCACCGGCUAACUACGUGCCAGCAGCCGCCGUAA